rnacentral:rRNA from 1 species
AUUGAACGCUGGCGGCAGGCCUAACACAUGCAAGUCGAGCGAGCGGCGGACGGGUGAGUAAUGUCUGGGAAACUGCCCGAUGGAGGGGGAUAACUACUGGAAACGGUAGCUAAUACCGCAUACCCUCGGAUGUGCCCAGAUGGGAUUAGCUUGUAGGUGAGGUAACGGCUCACCUAGGCGACGCUCCCUAGCUGGUCUGAGAGGAUGACCAGCCACACGGGAACGGAGACACGGUCCAAACGCCUACGGGAGGGAGCAGUGGUGAAUAUUGCACAAUUGGCGGAAGCCUGAUGCAGCCAUGCCGCGGGUAUGAAGAAGGCCUUCGGGUUGGAAAGUACUUUCAGCGGGGAGGCGUUACCCGCAGAAGAAGCACCGGCUAACUCCGUGCCAGCAGCCGCGGUAAUUC